GCAGUUAAGGUCCGAUUUGGACAUAUAAGGUAUGAUUUUGACAUAUAAGGUCCGAUUUGUCCAAAUUCUAAAUAUUGGCCUCACAGUUAAGGUUAAAAUUAUCAGCAGUUAACGUUCGAUUUAGACAGAAUAUAGGACAUUUGGUCACGCUUGAGGAAAAUUCAAAAGUUUGAGGGGUAAAUUGAUGAAAUUGAAAGUAUAGGGAUUAACAUGAAGUUACUCCCGAACCUCAUGGGGGUAAACUGAAUUUAAUUCUUUCUUUUUUAUUGUUUGCUUCCUUGCCCACUUUUCAACGUAUGACAAAUGACAACAAAUUUAGUUCAACUUAUAUUCCAAAUUUAGUUAUAUGAGUUUAACUAUUGGUUCCUGUGUGAAGGAUUGUGUUGGUUAUGGGCAUUAAAAUGCCUUGUAAAGCAUUGUCUUUGCUUCUAGAGUAACUAGCUUAUAGGUGGGAGGGUUUUCUUUUGUCUCUUGAAUCUUGAUGCUAAGCAACGGAUAUGGCAUGUGUUUUUACUGUUUAUAUAUGUUUUUUCCAAUCAUGCAUGGGAUACCUUUUGUUUAGUAUGAGGUAUGGCAUUAUUUCUUCAAUGUACUUUAGGUAUAAUUUUUGGGUUUGUUAAUACCUAUAGUACAACCACCGGCAAGUUUUAGAAUUUCUGUCUAGGUAGGUAUAAAAGGUUUAACAAGAUCAUUUGUCUACUUCCUCUUUUUCUGGGUGUUGAAGACGGUUUUAAAUUUCUAUUUUUACAAGUUAAACGAUAUUGAAUUGAUUUUGGUGCGAUCCCUGGUAGCUUUGUUGCUGUAACUUCAAAUAUGCUUCAAGGAAUAUUUUCUGAAGUUAUCUAUCUGUUUGUUUUCUAACAUCCUUACUAACUUGAACAUCUUUUGCAGAUAUCUGGAAAACCAGACGUGGCAAAAAGAGCACUUUAUGAAGUGUCUACUCUAUUGCAUAAGAAUCCACGCAAGGACAAACCUCCUUUGGGAUUGGCUAUACCUUUUGGGGGUCAGGGGUUUCAUCUGCGAGGAGCCCCAAAUAUGUUCCCACCUGGCAAUCCAAUGUGGCCUUAUAGGGAACCUUCCCACGGUAUGCCACCAAUGUCAUGGAUAGGAGAAUAUGAAAAUCAUUCCUCUGGAUAUGGUCGAGGAGAUUUUGAUCGUGAUCCUGCGGGGCAUGGGGUUGAAGUUUCAGCUGAGUUUUUUAUAAAGAUUUUGUGUUCAGGUUAUUGGCAAGGGGGGUUUUAAUGUGAAACAGUUACAAGAGGAAACAGGAGCCAAUAUUCAUGUUCAGGCAUGUCUCUGCUUUUGAGGUAUGCAGAUUUUUAAUACAAAACCAUAUCCGUAUGUCUAGCUUAUUUUCAUAUUGGACCUCACAUGGAAAACCUACUCAUCAACUGUUUCUUGGUGGAUUUAUAUGCCACAUUAUAUGCUAGCGGUAGAUCACCUUGCUGAUACUCUUUCAGGUGCUGCGGAGUCCAAGGUCACAAACAAUUGAGGCAAAUCUUCAGCUUCAAAACAAAGCAAGUGAAUUAUCUGAUAAAGGUACGAUCACAACUAGGCUUCUUGUUCCAUCGAGUAAAGUUGGCUGCAUCCUUGGACAAGGAGGAUAGGUUAUUAAUGAGAUGAGAAGGAGAACCCAGGCAGAUAUUCGUGUGUACUCGAAAGAUGAUAGGCCUAAGUGUGCAGCUGAAGAUGAAGAGCUUGUGCAGGUGAUGCUAUUGCGUCCUUUCACUGUUUUAUUCGACUUAUAUAAAAAAAGUAUUGAACGAGAAAGAGCAUGUGAAACUGAUCAUUGGGAAAGUACGUACGUUAUUAGAGUUGUCGAAUGUUAUUCGAUACGUUUAGCUUUGGAUUUGCUAUUUUGAAGAAGCUUGUAAGAAAAAAGACGUUGUGCUUGUUUCAGUUGUUUGAUGUUGUAAUAAAGUCUAAACUGUGAUUUGUGUUUGAUUCUACUCAUUCUAGUCAAUUACUGGGGUGAUCUUUGUGUAUGAUUCGAGUUAGUUAAUUACUGGGGUGAUCGAUGACCCAAUGAUCAAGUGCAUCUUACAAUUAAGUCGGAUUGAAUCUACUUCACCAGACAUUAUGUUCCUGCAGCUAGCUUCCCGAAUAAUAUAUAACUGAAACAAGCUAUCAUUUCAUACAAAACCAAUUCAGCUAAACCAUGAGCUAGGUUGGAAAUGACUUUAUCCAUCGCUACCGCAAACGUGCAUGAGAGUCUUGAUAUCUUCUACCAAGUUACCCUCUCAGAGUCUCAGACCAACAAAAUUCAGAAGUAGCUAGGCGAACUACAUCUUCAAAGCAGUGGACAACAAAAUUUGUUGUUAAUUAUAUUCGGUAUCCAUAUAUAGGAAGAAGAGUGGCCUCAAGAGCAAAAGUUCAGCUGCAAAAGGACAGAAACAACCCCUAACUGGGAGAGCAAUUGACCAAACCUCAUUCCGAUCGAAUAAAAGCUCCUAAUUAAGUCCUAACCCUAGCUCUUAUGCCACUCUUGUUUUCCAGAGCUGCUCCAUCAGUAUUUACUUUGUACCUAUUCGUAUUGCAGGGGUGGACCAUAUCCCAGGUACAACUUCAAUUCUGUUCACUUUUGGUUCAAUGUCCGCAGCAGAGUACGUACGUCGGUACUAUAUUAUAUGAUGAGCUUGCUUUGCAGGAUUUGAAUACAGAAAUUAACAUCGUAAUUAAGUGCUAAUCAUCAAAUUAGCUGUCGCUCUUUGCAAUUAACUGGGAAAGCGUUGGGCUUCUUUAAUUUGGGCCUUCAGAAAAGUUGGGCCAAUGACUUCCAAAAUGGGCCGUCCCCCGCCUUCAUUCUCUGUAAGACUGUAACAUCGCAAGAAUAUGGGAGAGCUCAACCAUGCUCGAAUUUAUCUCUCUACUCUCAGAUGGGGAGUACCACGCGAAGGUGCUCAAUCAUCCUAUAAUUGUUGCUAAUCUUUUAUCUCGGAAAUCGAGAGCUUAUCAUGCAAAUAUUAAAUUGGACCUCCCGUCCAAAACUUUGCAAGCAAGAGCAAAGUGAAAUGUCAUCAACUCAUUCGCUACCAGAAAACAAUUAGCACAUGAUGUUUUCAUUAACCUAACACUCGUAAAUUAUUGUUCAAUUCAAACAAAACUGACGUCCCAUUUGUGUUAUAUUGCUGCCAUCAACUACUCAUUUGCUAUCUGAAAACAUAUGAUAUUCGAUCAUACACCUAACUCUCUCCAUAUUAUUGUUCAAUUUGAGCAAACUGACGUCCCAUUUCCAUAGUCAUCCUUAUGCAAUAUCAAAUGGGAGCACUGGAAAAUUAGUUUGCUAUAUUUUCUUAAUAUAAGUGGGGCGUUAGCCUGAAUUGAUAUCUACAUGAUGAAGAGCGAGAGAUGCAUAAAAAAAGAAUCUUGCAGUCCUUCAAAUAAGAAAAAUGACCCAAAAACAAAAACUGCAAAUAUGGUUUGUACGUCAAAAUCUCAAACUGGAUGGACAAGAACUUGUUUGAUGUUGGUUUAAUCACAACUCGCAUAAUCUCCCGAAUCUUUUCAUUCUUCACUUGGCCUUCAUACCUUUGAUUCUGUGAAACAGUAUAUAAGUCUAGAAUUAAGUAAUUAACAUUCAUUCCACGCGGAUGCCUGUGAUAUAUAACAACUAAAACUUUCAGUUGACCAUCUUUAUUAAAUAGAUUUUCAGAGAACUCGAAUAUAUUGAAUUUUCAGAGAGGGGCCGGGAAUGAACAUUUAUUCUUGCUUAAUCCUAAUCUAAUAUUUCACCCUCCCACGUACAUCACUUGAACAGAUAGAGACCUCAUACCCUAUAAUCCAGGACAAUUUACUUUACGAACAUAUUCCACACUUGAAGAAAAGAAGAAGAAGAAGAAGGUAAAACUAUAUGGUAUAUAUAGUAACAUUUCACAUAUCUUUUAUUUUUUAUUUUAAAAAAAACACACACAUGACUCAUACAUGUCCUACUACAUUUUAAUAUAUUUCAUUUUGAGGCUGUGGUGACUAAGAAAAAGUCUUUGUAAGGUAAAGAAUUGUCCUCAUUAGAUAAGAGCUAGUAAACUAAGUUCUCAUCUCAGUGAUUACUGAGUAAGAGUCUUAAAAGUGGUAAUAUAUCAUAUGUUAACAUAUAUAUUGAAUAGUUAACCGAAAAUAAGUUGCCAAGUUAGCAAGAAACAAUAAUGUCAAAUGCAGACCCAAAUUACCAUGUGGUAGCCCGUCGACCGUCGUGUAGAACAUCACAACUCUGAUGGCAACUGGCAUGAAUCUUCUUAAUCUUUAAUUUGCCAAGUCUUUUAAUACAAACGUUGACGCAAAUGGGAAAUGAAAAAUAAAAAUAAAAAACACGAUUCUUUUAUCUUUAAAUCAGAGGUAAGGGUACUGCAUUUCCUGCACGUAGAACUCAGAAGCUAACUACAGAUCGAUUUCCGAAACAUAGUUUGUCUCUUCUUUCCGAUAAGUAAAUUGACGAUCGAUCGAGGAUAAGAUCAGAGAAUCAAGACCCCAAGUCCACCGUUUACCAGCUCUCCCACUUCCACAGGUACUACUGUAUAUUUCUCUGAUCAACAAAUACAAAAACUUGACUACGCCUUGCAGCUGCAAUUGAGCUCAUUUCAUAUGUUUGUGUUUUUCUUCUUGACAGAUCUAGAGCAUAUGGCAGCUACGGCGGCCUUCUCCAGUGCUAUCGUGCUUAAACUUUUAACCACAAAUAACUAUGAAGAUUGGAGUUUUCGGGUCAAAACCUAUUUGCUGGCCAAGGGUCUUUGGAAGGUGGUCGAAUCCGCCAUGGAACCUCCUAGAGUAGAAGAUGGUGAGGCCGAAUUUGAGGCUUGGAGUGAGAAGAACGCAGAGGCUUUGCAUGCUAUUCAUAUUACUUGCGGGGAAGAUAUCUUUCCUUUUAUCCGGGGAAUCGACACAGCUAAAGCUGCCUGGAAUACUUUGGAAAAGAAAUUGAAGCCGGCUGGACUACCAAAAACAGAAGGUACGUACAUCUCAAAAUAAACCGAUGAAGGAAAACAUAUAUUCAAUAUUUGUCAUCGCACAUUAUCGGGUAGUGGAUUUUCAUUUUUCUUGAUUCAUAUAUAGACUUGGUAGAAAUUAUCCUUUUUUCUGAUUAUUGUCCAGAUGCGAGAUCUGAGCAUCAGUCCCCAAUGGAUGGUGAACUACAGCUAAAAGACCUCAAACCAGAACCAGUAAUAGAAGGUAUCAUCUCGAUCGACCCUCCUAUACUUUUUUCCCACGGUGCUAGUAGUUUAUUUGUUUAUUGGGACAGAAGGCUUAUAUUUUUCCUUGAGAGAAUGACGUCAGAGUCUAUAACAAAACAAAAAAUAAAAUGUCAAUUGCAAACAUGACUUACCUGUAGGGCAAUCGAUUUGGGCAGGAUGCAACAACAAUGCCAGUUCCACCACCAAUGAUCUUGACCGCGGCUCCUAUCAACAUUUCUUCGAUUGUGUGGAAUAUUAUUGGAGGCGUAACAACGAAGGUGAUGCCCUCGAGUUUCUUAAAGAGUAUCCACACCCAAUAAGAGAACUAAGACAUCCAUCAUCCGACAUUCCAGCUCUUCACUUCGCAAUGAUGAACGAUAAUUCGACUAUUGUAGAUGAGUUGGUGCGAAUAAUGACAGAGGACGACUUGGAAGAAAUAUUGGAUCCUUCUGGUCGUACAGCUAUUUGUUGUGCUAUUGAAAAUCCUUAUACAGUUGCACUGGAAACUGUAAAAGUCAUGAUUGAAAAGAACAAGAAGUUACUUAGCAUUGUUGAUCCUUCCACCAAUAUGAUCCCGCUUGUCAUGGCUCAUGGAGCUACAUGGUACAGUGUUGACGUGGUUAAGUAUCUGAAUUCUGUCACUCCACUCGAAACUCUCAAUGCUCACCAAGCAGCCCAAAUUAUUUCUCAAGCUUUUCUUCUUAAAAGAUUCGGUAAGUAAGAUUUUCACUUACUCGAUCAUCAAUUCAUCAUAUAUAACUAAUUUGAUGUCUCCUAGCAAUUAGUGAGUCUGCCAGUCUGGUAGUCUUCCUACAACAAAUAUAUUUUUUCUAGAGUUUGUUUAUAUAUUUCUCAUGUUAUAUUUAUUUUCUUUUUUUGACUUUAUUACAGAUAUUUCGUGGGAUUUAAUCCAGCGCUACCCAAGUUUGGGUAUUACUAAAGACUUAUCCGGAAAAUAUCCUUUGAAUAGAUUGGUUGAGAGCAUGAAAUGGGAACAUUUAUUUUUGAGUGAAACCGGACAACUUCUGGCAACAAUGGAUUUAUGACCGUAACUAGUCUACCAUAUUUUUCUCUUCUUUUUUAUUAAGCUUCUGUCCACUACUCAUCCAAGGUGCCUAAAUUUUUGUGUUUUCACAUAUCCUGAUACAGGUAUAGUCAUACCACCUUCUCCGAAAAUAGAUGAUAACAGUACCAUAAACGUUAAUGACCCAGAAAAUCACAAAUGUAAUCAAAGGUGUCUCAUUCACUCGGGUAUGUUUACCUAAUUCACAACGACUACAACAACAUAUGCUCAACCCCAUCGAUCUUUUAUUCGACAUCUCUUCAUUUCGUUACAACUAUAUGUUCACAUAUUUGUUCUUGAAUUUUUACAUUGCAGUUACCAGUUUAUUCAGACGAUUUUUCGGAGGACUUUUGGGUAUGAUAGGUUACCGCACAUCCAUGAUUUUCCCAUUCAAUUGUGUGUUACUUACCAAAUUAUCUAUAUAUACGUUGUUAAUUGUAUAUUGUCUUCAUGGUUAAUGUAGGAAUCAGUCGCAUACAACGUAUGAAAUUGGUACAUGCCCAAGUUCAUGAAUUUUUACAUUGCAUUUGUGAAGUGAUGAAAAAUAAAGAUGUUACUCAAAUACAAGAUGACAGCCUUCUUCGGUCAGCCAUUUUCCAAGCAGUAGAACAAGGAAAAAUUGAGUUCAUCACUCAUAUAUGUAGUGCAAAUCCAAACAUCUACCAAAUUACUAAUGAACAAGACAUGACCUUGUUUCAAUUUGCAGCUGACUGUCGUCAAGAAAAUAUAUAUAGCCUCGUGUAUGUAUAUUAUCGCAUAAAAAGAAUUGAGAUUUUUCAGAGGAGAGACAAGUUUGACAAUAAUAUGCUACAUAUAGUCGGAAAUUUUUCGUCAUUUGCCCAAACUAGAGUUGACAGUAUACGGGGUGCAGCUUUACAAUUGCAGCGAGAACGACAAUGGUUUAAGGUUAGUAUUUAUCUAUUUUCAAAUUUGCUAGUCUUUUUGUUUUUGGUUGGGAAUACCAAUAUGUUACAAAUAAAUUCGCUAAAAGAGAAGAAAAUUAUAAGUUAUCAGUAUCAUCAUGUUGUGUAAGAAAGUUCAAAUUUUACCAUGCAUGGGAUGAAAUGCAGGAGGUGCAAUCUCAGGCAGAGCUUGAGUCACUUGAAGUUAUAAAUCAUAUGGAUCAAGCGCCACCGCGUGUGGUAUUUACCAAAUAUCAUAGAGAAUUAAUGAAGGAGGGAGAAAAGUCAAUGAAAGAAACUGCAACUUCAUGUACAGUUGUAGGUGCGCUUAUUGUCACUAUGAUGUUUGCGGCAGCAUUUACAGUUCCUGGCGGAAACAAUGAAGAUACAAGUGCACCUAUGUUCUUAAAGGCAAAGGAGUUCAUGGUAUUCAUUAUCUCAGAUGCUAUAUCAUUGUUUUCUUCUACAACUUCGGUGAUGAUAUUUUUAGGAAUUCUCACAUCACGUUACAAAGAAGAUGACUUCCUACAAUCUCUACCGACCAAGAUGAUAUUGGGCCUUUUCACUCUUUUUCUCUCCAUUGCCACCAUGAUGGUUACUUUUUCUGCUGCCCUUUACAUUAUGCUUCAUGGGAAACUAUGCAUCAUUAUCCCAGUUAUAUUACUUUCUAGCGUUCCAAUCGCCUCAUUUGUCUGGAUGCAAUUUCCCUUCUUUGUGGAGAUCUUCGCUUCAACUUACGGGGCGAAUAUAUUUGACAAGAAAAAUCUAGAAAAAUAUUGGAGUACAAUCUUAGAUUGCUAAUGUCUGAUGAAGAUUAUGUUUCAUUGCUGCCAUGUACGAAGUGCUUGUAAUGAAAGGGACAAUGUACUUAACAGCUUCCUUUUUUAGUGUAUAAUCUAUAUGCUCACCUGAAGUGCCCAGUUAAUUUUAUGUCAUGAUCACCUGAUCAGUUCCAUUUGCAUUAUGGCAGAACACCUGCAGAAUUGGAAUACUGAUUCAUUGUUGCAGCAGUUUGUUGAUGUACAUAUCUGUGACAUUUAGUUUUGACCUCAUUUAUUCCUAGCAUUGAGGACAUUGAGUACCUCGAUUCUCUUUUAAAUAAGUGGGUUUGACCGUUUGAAUUCGAUUAAUCAUCAAUUUGAUUAGAUUUGGUGUUGCUAUAUAAAAUUGGAGAGACAUCCUGUUUUCGUCAAAUAAUAAUUUUUUUUUUUUUAAAUGACUAACUUCAAAUCUUAUCAAAUACAAGUACCACCAUAAACACGACGAUUCAGGUUAUCAAGGCUACGUAAAAAUUGAAAAUGUUUCAAUAUUCUAACCUAUUCUAAUACUGAAAAAUCCUAUAAAAUUCUAAUCCUAUGAAAAAUCCUCGAUCUUCACCUAAACAGACCCCUUAUUUUGCUAAUCAUCAAAAUAAACCACCUAUGAAGAAAAUAGUCUUCUUUUUCUCCAGGUAAAAGAAAGUUACUAAAUUAGUAAGAAGCCUCUCUUGGCAUUCGUUUGAGUGGGCCUUUAGUUGGGCCUUCUGUAAUUCUAGCACAAGUAAAAAUGGGCCGUCCCCCGCCCUCUUUUCUCUGUAGAAACUCAUCGCAAAAAAUCUGGGAGAGCUCAAUCACGCUCGAAUUUCUCUCUCUGCUCUCAGAUGAGGAGCACCACCACUCGCCUCAGCAACCGGCGACCAUCACUCUUUCUAAUUCCGACUCCUCUCUCUCUCGCUCUGGUACGUUCCACCUUCUCCUUCUCCUUCCUCUCACUUUAAUCGCUCUCACUGAUCUAUUUCAUUUCAAUUCUCCGAUCACCGUCCACGAUCAAACCGAACAUUCCAAAUCCUCUGCCGCAUUUCUUUGUUUUCCUUAAUUCCUACGCAAAAUUACGCAACUUUGAUUUAGUGCGGGAUUGUUUCACACAGAGCUAGCUUGAUUCUGCUUAGGUCUCUCAUCUCUGUGUUUUUGAGCUGUGUAUGGUUUGGUUUUUGAAACCCUAGGGCUCGUGCGCUAGAACCGGAGCCGGUGAUGCUCGCCGAGCUGGCAUCGAAUUGCUUCACUAGGAUCCCUGACUUAUUGUUCAGUAAGGUACGUGAUUCAAACACAAUGCUGUAAUUUUUCGCAUUUUGAUUUUGCAAUUACUAAAUUUACCAGUUUUUUUUACCUUAGUUUUAGUGUUCUUGAGUUGGAUCAGCUAUUUUCAGCUCCCCGUGGCACUUGAAUUGUAAUCUGCUUUCAAUUUCAAUUCUUGAUAGCAUUAUCGAGAUGCAUCAGCUUCGUCUCGGUAAUGAGCUUUAUUCCUCUCCAGGCAUUUUCGUCUUUCGUAGAGUUUAAUCUACUUCGGUAUCAGUUUCCGGGAGUAUAUGGAUUGGAACAAGCGGAAUGUUCUCAGCCAACGGCCAACUGUCCAGUUUAAAAGAAAAGGGAGCAGCAACCAGAAAGGGAACUUGAAUAAUUCAAACCGCGAACAGUCUUCAGGAAAUGCUCAAUCCCUUGAGACUGUGUAUCGUAUACUUUGCCCCUCUAAAAAAAUUGGUGGUGUAAUUGGGAAAGGUGGUGGCAUAAUCAAGUCCCUGAGGGAAGAGACCCGGUCCAAGAUUACAGUUUCUGAUUCUGUUCCUGGCUCAGAUGAGAGAGUAAUUAUUAUCUUUAGUCCGCCAACCAAAAUUUCGAGGAAACAAAAUAGUGAUGAAGAUUCACAUAAGGCUGAUGAACAGAAGCCCUUGGAGCCACACUGUGCUGCCCAAGAUGCACUAUUGAAAGUUCAUGACAGGAUUGUGGAGGAAGAUCUCUAUGAUGGGGUUACAUUUGAUGAUGAUAACGAGAAUAUUGUUGUCACAAGACUUCUAGUUCCAAACAACUUGGUAGGAUGUCUGCUAGGAAAGCGUGGGGAUGUUAUACAAAGAUUGCGAAGUGAGACACGUGCAAACAUUCGUGUUCUUCCUGCAGAUCAGCUUCCUACUUGUGCAAUGGAUACUGAUGAAUUGGUGCAGGUACUCUUUCUUUUUUUAUUGUUUGCUUCCUUGCUCACUUUUCAACGUAUGACAAAUGACAACAAAUUUAGUCUAACUUAUAUUCCAAAUUUAGUUAUAUGAGUUUAACUAUUGGUUCCUGUGUGAAGGAUUGUGUUGGUUAUGGGCAUUAAAAUGCCUUAUAAAGCAUUGUCUUUGCUUCUAGAGUAACUAGCUUAUAGGUGGGAAGAUUUUCUUUUGUCUCUUGAAUCUUGAUGCUAAGCAACGGAUAUGGCAUGUGUUUUUACUGUUUAUAUAUUUUUUCCAAUCAUGCAUGGGCUACCUUUUGUUUGGUAUGAGGUAUGGCAUCAUUUCUUCAAACAUACUUUAGGUAUAAUUUUUGGGUUUGUUAAUACCUAUAGUACAACCACCGGCAAGUUUUAGAAUUUCUGUCUAGGUAGGUAUAAAAGGUUUAACAAGAUCAUUUGUCUACUUACCUCUUUUUCUGGGCAUUGAAGACGGUUUUAAAUUUCUAUUUUUACAAGUUAAACAAUAUUGAAUUGAUUUUGGUGCGAUCCCUGAUAGCUUGGUUGCUGUAACUUCAAAUAUGCUUCAAGGAAUAUUUUCUGAAGUUAUCUGUCUGUUUGUUUUCUAGCAUCCUUACUAACUUGAACAUCUUUUGCAGAUAUCUGGAAAACCGGACGUGGCAAAAAAAGCACUUUAUGAAGUGUCUACUCUAUUGCAUCAGAAUCCACGCAAGGACAAACCUCCUUUGGGAUUGGCUAUACCUUUUGGGGGUCAGGGGUUUCAUCUGCGAGGAGCCCCAAAUAUGUUCCCACCUGGCAAUCCAAUAUGGCCUAAUAGAGAACCUUCCCACGGUAUGCCACCAAUGCCAUGGAUAGGAGAAUGUGAAAAUCAUUCCUCUGGAUAUGGUCGAGGAGGUUUUGAUGGUGAUCCUGCGGGGCAUGGGG
rnacentral:lncRNA from 1 species